rnacentral:rRNA from 1 species
AUACGGAGGGGGCUAGCGUUGUUCGGAAUUACUGGGCGUAAAGCGCGCGUAGGCGGUCCGCGUAGUCAGGCGUGAAAGCCCCGGGCUCAACCUGGGAACUGCGUUUGAUACUGGCGGACUAGAGUUCGGGAGAGGGUAGUGGAAUUCCCAGUGUAGAGGUGAAAUUCGUAGAUAUUGGGAAGAACACCAGUGGCGAAGGCGGCUACCUGGACCGGACCUGACGCUGAGGUGCGAAAGCGUGGGGAGCAAACAGGAUUAGAAACCCCGGUAGUCC